AUGGAAAUAUGGAUGUUCUUCCCCCAUCAAUUAAUGACGAAGAUCAGUCAGAAUUUGCCUCUUAUUCUGAGAAUAGAGAUGUAAUGCCCCAAUAUGAUUCCACUACAUUACAUUUUACAUAUGAGCAACAAUUUGGUUCUCUAUGUACGUCUCCACAAUAUGGGUC
rnacentral:lncRNA from 1 species